AUGUCGCUUUCUAACAAGCUGACACUGGACAAACCAGACGUGAAAGGGCAGUGGGUCAUUAUGAGAGUGGACUUCAGUGUUCUUAACCUCCACUUUCAUGUGGAAGAAGAAGGGAAGGGAAAACUCUGGGAACAAGGUUAAAGUGAGCCCGCCAAAGUAGAAGCUUUCCGAGCUUCACUUUCCAAGCUAGGGGAUGUGUAUGUCAAUGAUGCUUUUGGCACUGCUCACAGAGCCCACAGCUCCAUGGUAGGAGUCAGUCUGCCACAGAAGGCUGGUGGUUUUUUGAUGAAGAAGGAGCUGAACUACUUUGCCAAGGUCUUGGAGAGCCCAUAGCAACCCUUCCUGGCCAUUCUUGGUGGAGCUAAAGUUGCAGACAAGAUCCACCUGAUCAAUAAUAUGCUGGACAAAGUCAAUGAGAUGAUUAUUGGUGGUGGAACGGCUUUUACCUUCCUUAAGGUGCUCAACAACAUGGAGACUGGCACUUCUCUGUUUGAUGAAGAGGGAGCCAAGAUUGUCAAAGACCAAAUGUCCCAAGCUGAGAAGAAUGGUGUGAAGAUUACCUUGCCUAUUGACUUUGUCACUGCUGACAAAUUUGAUGAGAAUGCCAAGACUGGCCAAGCCACUGUGGCUUCUGGCAUACCUGCUGGCUGGAUGGGCUUGGACUGUGGUCCUGAAAGCAGCAAGAAGUAUGCUGAGACUGUCACUUGGGCUAAGCAGAUUGUGUGGAAUGGUCCUGUGGGGGUAUUUGAAUGGGAAGCUUUUGCCUGGGGAACCAAAGCCCUCAUGGAUGAGGUGGUGAAAGCCACUUCUAGGGGCUGCAUUACCAUCGUAGGUGGUGGAAACACUGACACUUGCUGUGCCAAAUGGAACACAGAAGAUAAAAUCAGACAUGUGAGCACUAGGGGUGGUACCAGUUUAGAGCUCCUGGAAGGUAAAGUCCUUCCUGGGGUGGAUGCUUUCAGCAAUAUUUAGUACUUUCCUGCCUUUUAGUUCCCGUGCACAGCCCCUAAGUCAACUUAGCAUUUUCUGCACCUCCACUUGGCAUUAGCUAAAACCUUCCAUGUCAAGAUUCAGCUAGUGGCCAAGAGAUGCAGUGCCAGGAACCCUUAAACAGUUGCACAGCAUCUCAGCUCAUCUUUACUGCACCCUGGAUUUGCCUACAUUCUUCAAGAUCCCAUUUGAAUUUCUUAGUGACUAAACCAUUGUGCAUCCUAGAAUGCAUAUAUGUAUAUUUUGCCUGUUAAAA